rnacentral:rRNA from 1 species
GAAUAUUGCACAAUGGGCGCAAGCCUGAUGCAGCCAUGCCGCGUGUGUGAAGAAGGCCUUCGGGUUGUAAAGCACUUUCAGCGGGGAGGAAGGCGUUAAGGUUAAUAACCUUGGCGAUUGACGUUACCCGCAGAAGAAGCACCGGCUAACUCCGUGCCAGCAGCCGCGGUAAUACGGAGGGUGCAAGCGUUAAUCGGAAUUACUGGGCG